rnacentral:lncRNA from 1 species
UUUAGUAGAGACAGAGGUUUCACCAUGUUGGCCAGGCGGGUCUCGAACUCCAGACCUCAACUGAUCUGCCCACCGCUCUUCAUUCUUGACCCUUAACUCAUUAAAUACGAUAUGUCUCUCGCUGACUACUCAGAACCUUUAAAAACGUGGUUGAAGCGAAAUCUCUCCAGUGUUUGUGACAUGGCAAAGCAUGCUUCCCCCAACCCAAACAAAAACCUAACAAAUGCAAAAACGAGCCUCCAGAGACAGAAAAAAGAAGGCAGCUAAAGUGAAAAAGCCACAAAAGAUGUAGUGUUAGGAUAAAAGAGGAAGGUUACUGACACUGGGGGAAAUGAACUAAAGAGUAUGAAAAUAAAACAUUUGUUUUCCCCUUAACUGAAUGACGAUUGAAUCUUAGCUCAUAGUGUAGAAUAUACCAUCUGGAAAAGCAGAGUAAAACAGGAUUAAACUUGCCCUACGACAAACAUAAACGACAUUUCCCUGUUUAAAGAGUCGAGGUAUUUCUUAAAAUCAUAAAACAAAAAAAUUAAGACUUAAGGAUGAACUCAUCUAUGUAUAAUGCUCAUUCACUUCCCCUUUAUUUGUAUACUUCUAGGGGUCUGGUGGUUCUAGCGACUGAAAAUUCCUAUCCAAAUACCAAUGACUUGAAUCACAUUUUCUAGGACUGCCACAAACAAAAGAUUUAUUUGGAGACGAAUAAAAAGGGGCCGUAGGAUUACCUACAAGAAGUUAUUUCCUCCUGAGAUUGAUGGCACAACCUUGUCAGCAAAUUGCUGUUGCCUCUCUCAGUUACCAAAAAUAACCCGUAACAAACACCAGGCUUGGGUGUAAGUUCUUUCCUAAGGGAACAACUCAGCAGAGCUGUUUAUAACUAGAGAGGAGGAAACAAUAAUCUGCAAGAUGUCGCCAGCAGCAGAAUGAGAACGGUUAUUAGUUAAUAGCCAUCAGAGACAGACCAAGUGGAACACAGUCCUCGGAAAAACGCCACUCUGUAGCAUUAGUAAUUAAAACCUCACAAGGUUUGUAUUUCCUGAAGGAGGCCGUCAGUGUCAAUGCUGUACUAACGACGGUACUGUACGUAAGUUUCGGUACUGCCCCCACUUUCUUCUCCUUGACAUUGUAUUACUAAAAGCUGCAGCUACUCUCUACAGUUUUCUCAUUGGUUACUAAUGUCUGGAACAGCAGCUAGAUUAUGCAGUAAGCUCUUGGUAUGUAUUAGCUAUUAUAUAAUAAUUUAUUUGAAUAGAGUAGAACUAAAAAUUUGAAAUGAGUUAAAACCAAAGAGUUAAAAGAUUUAUGGUAGUAAAUAUUCAUACUGUUUUGUUGAUUUGGACAGUUGUCUUGAACAGCUUUGAAAGGGAACAUAUGACAGGUUUCGUUUAUAAUUUUAAUUGAUGCUGAACUCCACUAACAUGAUAUGUGCAGCUGGUGUUACAUUAUAACUGAGUUUUUUAAUUACCCAGUGAAGAAAUUCAAGAUGUCAUGCUCUUGUUUUUCUCCAGAGUGAACCACAAAGUCUGAAAAACUGUUGUUGACGACUUCUCAGUCCUUUAUGUGGAGCUGGGGGCAGGAAGAAUUGCUUCUGGAAGCUGAUGGAGUUGGACAUGUGGCUUUCUAGAAUCUGGAUGUGAUGGUGCAGGAAAAACUCCUGCCCAUUGAGAGGGCUCCGUAAGUGCUUCCCAAAAGAGAAUGAGAAGGAAAAGGAGAUCUCCACAGGAACUGCCUCCUUGGAUCCAGGGCAAAAAUGAACCUCCUAUUGGAGAGAAGUGCCCAGCUUGUCAAGAAGUUGAAUCGGUGCAACCAGCGUUUGUGAAAGCAGCAUUUCCCAUUUCACAUAAAGUCAGCUUCUGGCCAACUGGACAAGUCUGAACAAAUAUGAAACCCACUAAAAGGCCAGUGACAGGUGCACACACUACUGACUCUGGCUAGAGGCUGUGGCAGGAAUUGGACUCAUGUCAUCCAGCGACAGUUCCACCAGCAUCUCUUGUGGCUUCCCAAGGACCAGCCUGAGGCAAACUCCUCAGUGGUGUGAAGACUUUCCAUGUCACUGGAAACCCACCACAGAGUUCUACCAAGUAACCAUGCCUCCACCAGUCCACAACAAACUUUUAAGGCCUCUCCAGUUAUGCCUGCAACCAUCCCACAUUAGCAACCUAAGUAGGCCACCAGUAGAGCUGGUCAAGAGAAAGGAUAGGUUCAAUUAAUUAUUUUUUAAUUAAAAAAAAAUAGAGACAGGGUCUUGUUAUGUUGCCGAGGCUGGUCUUGUACU